GGGGAGCUGGUCAACCGACUCAUACCAACCUAGAAACUCCAGCGCUCUCCAAGUCGGUUCUGGUUCCUCUACCCGCGAAGAACUCGGUCCGGUGACUCUUGGGUCUUCCUCGGUUCGUUUCCGAGUUCGGUUCUAUGCUUUGGGGCGUACGGGGCUGAAUCGAUCAAGUUAAAUUUGUCAAGGUGUUAGCUCAUCAUCUUUGGCUUUGAGCGAAUUGUUAUCAAGUGUGGAUAGGGAGAGCAGAGGAAGGAUUGGUCUAACUAGCGUGGUGUUCCUCAUUAGAAGCAGACUAGUAUGAAGGGAUUCCGCCUUGAACUAUAUUAAUCCGAAGUCGAUCAAGAGAGGACUUGGACAAAGGGAGAUUGAAGGAGGAAUCUAUUUUAGCUACUGCUAAGGUGCUCCUCAUCCAGAUACAAAGCUGCUAUUGAGUUUUUAUUUUUGAACAGAAGCAAGAACGUGCUAAAUAGUUCUAGUAAGUAUGGACUUCUGGAAAUUUGAUCGCUAUGUUGCUUACUUUGAUGGACUUUAUUUGUAACUGAGGUUUGGGUAUGUAUAAUAUUAGAAUUGGUGACUGGUGGAGAAGAUGAGGAAUGGAAGAACUCUUUGUACGUUGCUGUGAGGAAAGUAAAGGCUGUCAUUUGGCUGUUUUCAGUUUAAGUUAUAUACCCCCCGUUUAAUCACACUUUGG